AAACGGCGGCCGUAACUAUAACGGUCCUAAGGUAGCGAAAUUCCUUGUCGGGUAAGUUCCGACCUGCACGAAUGGCGUAACGAUGGCCACACUGUCUCCUCCUGAGACUCAGCGAAGUUGAAAUGGUUGUGAUGAUGCAAUCUCCCCGCGGUUAGACGGAAAGACCCCAUGAACCUUUACUGCAACUUUGCAUUGGAUUUUGAACCGGUUUGUGUAGGAUAGGUGGGAGGCUUUGAAGCCAAAACGCUAGUUUUGGUGGAGCCGUCCUUGAAAUACCACCCUAAUCCGUUUGGAGUUCUAACCUUGGCCCGUUAUCCGGGCUGGGAACAGUGCAUGGUGGGCAGUUUGACUGGGGCGGUCUCCUCCUAAAGAGUAACGGAGGAGCUCGAAGGUACGCUUGGUACGGUCGGAAAUCGUACUUAAAGUGCAAUGGCAUAAGCGUGCUUGACUGCGAGACUUACUAGUCGAGCAGGUGCGAAAGCAGGACAUAGUGAUCCGGUGGUUCUGUAUGGAAGGGCCAUCGCUCAACGGAUAAAAGGUACUCUGGGGAUAACAGGCUGAUACCGCCCAAGAGUUCAUAUCGACGGCGGUGUUUGGCACCUCGAUGUCGGCUCAUCUCAUCCUGGGGCUGUAGCCGGUCCCAAGGGUAUGGCUGUUCGCCAUUUAAAGAGGUACGUGAGCUGGGUUCAGAACGUCGUGAGACAGUUCGGUCCCUAUCUGCCGUGGGCGUUGGAAGUUUGAGGAAGUGCUGCUCCUAGUACGAGAGGACCGGAGUGGACGCACCUCUGGUGUACCUGUUGUCACGCCAGUGGCAUCGCAGGGUAGCUAAGUGCGGAAGAGAUAACCGCUGAAGGCAUCUAAGCGGGAAGCUCAUUCCAAGAUUAGACUUCCCGGGAGCUUGACUCCCCUGAAGGGUCGUUCAAGACUAGGACGUUGAUAGGCUGGGUGUGGAAGUACAGUAAUGUAUGAAGCUAACCAGUACUAAUUGCCCGUGAGGCUUGACUCUAUAACAUU
rnacentral:rRNA from 1 species